AACAGGAUUAGAUACCCUGGUAGUCCACGCUGUAAACGAUGUCGACUUGGAGGUUGUGCCCUUGAGGCGUGGCUUCCGGAGCUAACGCGUUAAGUCGACCGCCUGGGGAGUACGGCCGCAAGGUUAAAACUCAAAUGAAUUGACGGGGGCCCGCACAAGCGGUGGAGCAUGUGGUUUAAUUCGAUGCAACGCGAAGAACCUUACCUACUCUUGACAUCCAGAGAAUUUGCUAGAGAUAGCUUAGUGCCUUCGGGAACUCUGAGACAGGUGCUGCAUGGCUGUCGUCAGCUCGUGUUGUGAAAUGUUGGGUUAAGUCCCGCAACGAGCGCAACCCUUAUCCUUUGUUGCCAGCACGUAAUGGUGGGAACUCAAAGGAGACCGCCGGUGAUAAACCGGAGGAAGGUGGGGAUGACGUCAAGUCAUCAUGGCCCUUACGAGUAGGGCUACACACGUGCUACAAUGGCAUGUACAAAGAGAAGCGAACUCGCGAGAGCAAGCGGACCUCAUAAAGUAUGUCGUAGUCCGGAUUGGAGUCUGCAACUCGACUCCAUGAAGUCGGAAUCGCUAGUAAUCGUAGAUCAGAAUGCUACGGUGAAUACGUUCCCGGGCCUUGUACACACCGCCCGUCACACCAUGGGAGUGGGUUGCAAAAGAAGUAGGUAGCUUAACCUUCGGGAGGGCGCUUACCACUUUGUGAUUCAUGACUGGGGUGAAGUCGUAACAAGGUAACC
rnacentral:rRNA from 1 species